UACGUAGGGGGCAAGCGUUGUCCGGAUUUAUUGGGCGUAAAGAGCGUGUAGGCGGCCAGGUAGGUCCGCUGUGAAAACUCGAGGCUUAACCUCGAGAUGUCAUCGGAAACCAUCUGGCUAGAGUCCGGAAGAGGAGAGUGGAAUUCCUGGUGUAGCGGUGAAAUGCGCAGAUAUCAGGAAGAACACCAAUGGCGAAAGCAGCUCUCUGGGACGGUACUGACGCUGAGACGCGAAAGCGUGGGGAGCGAACAGG
rnacentral:rRNA from 1 species